AUACGUAUGGGGCUAGCGUUGUUCGGAUUCACUGGGCGUAGAGGGCGUGUAGGCGGCUAUGCAAGUCGGAUGUGAAAUUUUCAGGCUUAACCUGAAAACUGCAUUCGAAACUGCGUAGCUAGAGUACCGGAGAGGGAGACGGAAUUCCUGGUGUAGGGGUGAAAUCUGUAGAUAUCAGGAAGAACACCGGUGGCGAAGGCGGUCUCCUGGCCGGAUACUGACGCUGAGGCGCGAAAGCUAGGGGAGCAAACAGGAUUAGAAACCCCAGUAGUCC
rnacentral:rRNA from 1 species